CGGGCGAGCGGCCCGCGGUCCGCCGUUUCCCGGCUGGUGGCUAGCGAUGGAGGAGGGGCUGCAAGUGCAUCCAACGGAAGGCGGACCGGCCGAAGCACGACAGGUGUUCCUAGGAGCACGUGAUCAAGAUUAUUGCAGAAAACUGGGCAGCGGUUGAGC
rnacentral:lncRNA from 12 species